rnacentral:rRNA from 1 species
GGUUAAGCGACUAAGCGUACACGGUGGAUGCCCUGGCAGUCAGAGGCGAUGAAGGACGUGCUAAUCUGCGAAAAGCGUCGGUAAGGUGAUAUGAACCGUUAUAACCGGCGAUGUCCGAAUGGGGAAACCCAGUGCAAUUCGUUGCACUAUCGUUAACUGAAUACAUAGGUUAACGAGGCGAACCGGGGGAACUGAAACAUCUAAGUACCCCGAGGAAAAGAAAUCAACCGAGAUUCCCCCAGUAGCGGCGAGCGAACGGGGAGCAGCCCAGAGUCUGAAUCAGCUUGUGUGUUAGUGGAACGGUCUGGAAAGUCCGACGGUACAGGGUGAUAGUCCCGUACACCAAAAUGCACAGGCUGUGAACUCGAAGAGUAGGGCGGGACACGUGGUAUCCUGUCUGAAUAUGGGGGGACCAUCCUCCAAGGCUAAAUACUCCUGACUGACCGAUAGUGAACCAGUACCGUGAGGGAAAGGCGAAAAGAACCCCGGCGAGGGGAGUGAAAAAGAACCUGAAACCGUGUACGUACAAGCAGUGGGAGCACCUUCGGGUGUGACUGCGUACCUUUUGUAUAAUGGGUCAGCGACUUAUAUUCUGUAGCAAGGUUAACCGUAUAGGGGAGCCGCAGGGAAACCGAGUCUUAACUGGGCGUUAAGUUGCAGGGUAUAGACCCGAAACCCGGUGAUCUAGCCAUGGGCAGGUUGAAGGUUGGGUAACACUAACUGGAGGACCGAACCGACUAAUGUUGAAAAAUUAGCGGAUGACUUGUGGCUGGGGGUGAAAGGCCAAUCAAACCGGGAGAUAGCUGGUUCUCCCCGAAAGCUAUUUAGGUAGCGCCUCGUGAACUCAUCUUCGGGGGUAGAGCACUGUUUCGGCUAGGGGGUCAUCCCGACUUACCAACCCGAUGCAAACUACGAAUACCGAAGAAUGUUAUCACGGGAGACACACGGCGGGUGCUAACGUCCGUCGUGAAGAGGGAAACAACCCAGACCGCCAGCUAAGGUCCCAAAGUCAUGGUUAAGUGGGAAACGAUGUGGGAAGGCACAGACAGCCAGGAUGUUGGCUUAGAAGCAGCCAUCAUUUAAAGAAAGCGUAAUAGCUCACUGGUCGAGUCGGCCUGCGCGGAAGAUGUAACGGGGCUAAACCAUGCACCGAAGCUGCGGCAGCGACACUAUGUGUUGUUGGGUAGGGGAGCGUUCUGUAAGCCUGCGAAGGUG